GCCGGAUACAGUGGCAUGCACCUGUAGUCCCAGUUACUUGGGAGGCAGAGGCAGGAGAAUCGUUUGAGCACAGGAAUUCUGGGCUCUAGCGUGCUAUGCCAAUCAGGUGUCUGCACUAAAUUCAACAUCAGUGUGGUGAUCUCCCAGGAGCAGAGGACUACCAGGUUGCCUAAGGAAAAGUGAACUGCCAGGUUGGAAAUAAAAGAGGCCAAAAUUCCUGGGCUGGACAGCAGUGAGAUCACACCUGUGAACAGUCUCUGCACUCCAGCCUAGGUUACAUAGCAAGACCCCAUCACAC
rnacentral:SRP_RNA from 1 species